GAGUUUGAUCAUGGCUCAGAACGUACGCUGGCGGCACGCCUAACACAUGCAAGUCGAACGCAGUAGCAAUACUGAGUGGCAAACGGGUGAGUAUAAUGUGGGAAUCUGCCUUUUGGUCUGGAAUAACACGGGGAAACUUGUGCUAAUACCGGAUAAGCCCUUACGGGGAAAGUUUUAAUGCCGAAAGAUGAGCCUGCACUUGAUUAGCUAGUUGGUAAGGUAAAAGCUUACCAAGGCAACGAUCAAUAGCUGUUCUUAGAGGAAGACCAGCCACAUUGGGACUGAGACACGGCCCAGACUCCUACGGGAGGCAGCAGUGGGGAAUCUUGCACAAUGGGGGAAACCCUGAUGCAGCGAUGCCGCGUGAGUGAAGAAGGCCUUUGGGUUGUAAAACUCUUUCGUCGGGGAAGAAAAUGACUGUACCCGAAUAAGAAGGUCCGGCUAACUUCGUGCCAGCAGCCGCGGUAAUACGAAGGGACCUAGCGUAGUUCGGAAUUACUGGGCUUAAAGAGUUCGUAGGUGGUUGAAAAAGUUGGUGGUGAAAUCCCAGAGCUUAACUCUGGAACUGCCAUCAAAACUUUUCAGCUAGAGUAUGAUAGAGGAAAGCAGAAUUUCUAGUGUAGAGGUGAAAUUCGUAGAUAUUAGAAAGAAUACCAAUUGCGAAGGCAGCUUUCUGGAUCAUUACUGACACUGAGGAACGAAAGCAUGGGUAGCGAAGAGGAUUAGAUACCCUCGUAGUCCAUGCCGUAAACGAUGUGUGUUAGACGUUGGAAAUUUAUUUUCAGUGUCGCAGCGAAAGCGAUAAACACACCGCCUGGGGAGUACGACCGCAAGGUUAAAACUCAAAUGAAUUGACGGGGACCCGCACAAGUAGUGGAGCAUGUGGUUUAAUUCGAAGAUACGCGCAGAACCUUACCAACACUUGACAUGUUCGUCGCGACUCUAAGAGAUUAGAGUUUUCGGUUCGGCCGGACGAAACACAGGUGCCGCAUGGCUGUCGUCAGCUCGUGUCGUGAGAUGUUGGGUUAAGUCCCGCAACGAGCGCAACCCUCACUUUUAGUUGCCAUCAUUAAGUUGGGCUCUCUGAAAGAACUGCCAGUGAUAAGCUGGAGGAAGGUGGGGAUGACGUCAAGUCCUCAUGGCCCUUACGUGUUGGGCUACACACGUGCUACAAUGGUAUCUACAACAGGAAGCAAGACUGCGAAGUUUAGCAAAUCCUUAAAAGAUACCUCAGUUCGGAUUGCACUCUGCAACUCGAGUGCAUGAAGCUGGAAUUACUAGUAAUCGUGGAUCAGCGUGCCACGGUGAAUGCGUUCCCGGGUCUUGUACACACCGCCCGUCACACCAUGGGAGUUGGUUCUACCUUAAGGCAAGGCUUAAAACCCUUGACCACGGUAUAGUCAGCGACUGGGGUGAAGUCGUAACAAGGUAACC
rnacentral:rRNA from 1 species